GUGCUCACUCCAGCAGCACAUACACUAACAUUGGAAUGAUACAGAGAAAAUUACCAUGGCCCCUGCACAGGGGUGACCCUCAAAUUCUUGAAGAGUUCCACUCAAAA